UACGUAGGUGGCAAGCGUUGUCCGGAUUUACUGGGCGUAAAGAGCGCGCAGGCGGUCGUUCAAGUCGCGUGUGAAAGCCCCCGGCUCAACUGGGGAGGGUCACGCGAUACUGAUCGACUCGAAGGCAGGAGAGGGUAGUGGAAUUCCCGGUGUAGUGGUGAAAUGCGUAGAUAUCGGGAGGAACACCAGUGGCGAAGGCGGGUCUCUGGACAGUUCCUGACACUGAGGCACGAAGGCCAGGGGAGCAAACGGG
rnacentral:rRNA from 1 species